UACGUAGGGUGCGAGCGUUACUCGGAAUUACUGGGCGUAAAGCGUGCGCAGGCGGUUCGUUAUGUCCGCUGUGAAAGCCCCGAGCUUAACUUGGGAAUGGCCUUGGAAACUGGCGGGCUGGAGUGCGGCAGAGGGGGGUGGAAUUCCACGUGUAGCAGUGAAAUGCGUAGAUAUCGGGAGGAACACCUGUGGCGAAGGCGGCCCCCUGGUUGGAUACUGACGCUGAGACGCGAAAGCGUGGGGAGCAAACAGG
rnacentral:rRNA from 1 species